rnacentral:rRNA from 1 species
UCAAUGGACGCAAGUCUGAACCAGCUAUGCCGCGUGGAGGAUGAAGGUCCUCUGGAUUGUAAACUUCUUUUAUCUGGGACGAAACACUUCUUUUCUAAGAGGCCUGACGGUACCAGAUGAAUAAGCACCGGCUAACUCCGUGCCAGCAGCCGCGGUAAUACGGAGGGUGCAAGCGUUAUCCGGAUUCACUGGGUUUAAAGGGUGCGGAGGUGGGUAUGUAAGUCAGUGGUGAAAUCCCCGAGCUUAACUUGGGAACUGCCAUAGACACUAUAUAUCUUGAAUACCGUAGAGGUAAGCGGAAUAUGUCAUGUAGCGGUGAAAUGCUUAGGUACGACAUGGAAAACCAAUUGCGAAGGCAGCUUACUAUGCGGUGAUUGACACUGAGGCACGACAGCGUGGGUAGCAAACA